rnacentral:lncRNA from 1 species
AAGAGGGGAGAGGGGAGAUGUAGAAGAGGGGAGGAAGGUGAGAGGGGAGGGGAUAGAUGGAGGAAGGGGAGGGGAGAGGGGAGAUGUAGAAGAGGGGAGGAAGGUGAGGGGGGAGGGGAUAGACGUAGAAGAGGGGAGGAAGGAGAGGGGAGAGGGGAGAUGAGGAAAAAAGGAGGAAAGUGGAGGAGAAGAAGAACAACAAGAUAACUAGGUAAUACACUACAUUCUAUUACCCUGGUCAAAAGUAGUGCACUAUAUAGUGAAUUGGGUGCCUUGGGUCCUGGUAAAAAGUAGUGCACUAUAACUACACACAAUAACUAUCUAUGACUGAAUUAAUUAAUUGUAUAUGACACAUGUAAAAUGCAUAUAUAAUUGCCUAUGAAGAUGGACUAUAACAAAACCCACAUUAAAAUCUAGUGAUGAUAAAAAACACAUUAAAAUGUAGUGAGGAUAAAAAAUCCCAGUUAGUCAACAUAGUGAUAUCCAUCACAGUUAGUCAACAUAGUGAUAUCCAUCCCAGUUAGUCAACAUAGUGAUAUCCAUCACAGUUAGUCAACAUAGUGAUAUCCAUCACAGUUAGUCAACAUAGUGAUAUCCAUCACAGUUAGUCAACAUAGUGAUAUCCAUCCCAGAGAUUCCGAGGGGAAGUCAACCUGAACAUGUACAAACAGUUAGUCAACAUAGUGGUGAUAUCCAUCCCAGUUAGUCAACAUAGUGAUAUCCAUCCCAGUUAGUCAACAUGGUGAUAUCCAUCCCAGUUAGUCAACAUAGUGAAAUCCAUCCUGGAGAUGCCGUGGGGAAGUCAACCUGAACAUGUACAAACAGUUAGUCAACAUAGUGUUAUCCAUCCCAGUUAGUCAACAUAGUGAUAUCCAUCCCAGUUAGUCAACAUAGUGAUAUCCAUCCCGGAGAUGCCUGGGGAAGUCAUCCUGAACAUUGACAAACAGUUAGUCAACAUAGUGAUGAUAUCCAUCCCAGAGAUUCCGAGGGGAAGUCAACCUGAACAUGUACAAACACAGUUAGUCAACAACUUACAUUGGUGCAUCUUACAUUUACAUUUACAUUUAAGUCAUUUAGCAGACGCUCUUAUCCAGAGCGACUUACAAAAUGGUGCAUUCACCUUAUGAUAUCCAGUGGAACAACCACUUUACAAUAGUGCAUCUAAAUAUUUUAACGGGGGGGGGGGUGUUAGAAGCCUAUCCUAGGUAUCCUAGGUAUUCCUUAAAGAGGUGGGGUUUCAGGUGUCUCCGGAAGGUGGUGAUUGACUCCGCUGUCCUGGCGUCGUGAGGGAGCUUGUUCCACCAUUGGGGUGCCAGAGCAGCGAACAGUUUUGACUGGGCUGAGCGGGAACUGUGCUUCCUCAGAGGUAGGGGGGCCAGCAGGCCAGUGGUGGAUGAACGCAGUGCCCUUGU